rnacentral:rRNA from 1 species
GGUUAAGCGACUAAGCGUACACGGUGGAUGCCCUGGCAGUCAGAGGCGAUGAAGGGCGUGCUAAUCUGCGAUAAGCGCCGGUAAGGUGAUAUGAACCGUUAUAACCGGCGAUACCCGAAUGGGGAAACCCAGUGUGAUUCGUCACACUAUCAUUAACUGAAUCCAUAGGUUAAUGAGGCGAACCGGGGGAACUGAAACAUCUAAGUACCCCGAGGAAAAGAAAUCAACCGAGAUUCCCCCAGUAGCGGCGAGCGAACGGGGAGGAGCCCAGAGCCUGAAUCAGCAUGUGUGUUAGUGGAAGCGUCUGGAAAGGCGCGCGAUACAGGGUGACAGCCCCGUACACAAAAGCGCAUGUGCUGUGAGCUCGAUGAGUAGGGCGGGACACGUGGUAUCCUGUCUGAAUAUGGGGGGACCAUCCUCCAAGGCUAAAUACUCCUGACUGACCGAUAGUGAACCAGUACCGUGAGGGAAAGGCGAAAAGAACCCCGGCGAGGGGAGUGAAAAAGAACCUGAAACCGUGUACGUACAAGCAGUGGGAGCACCCUUUGGGGUGUGACUGCGUACCUUUUGUAUAAUGGGUCAGCGACUUAUAUUCUGUAGCAAGGUUAACCGAAUAGGGGAGCCGGAGGGAAACCGAGUCUUAAUUGGGCGUUAAGUUGCAGGGUAUAGACCCGAAACCCGGUGAUCUAGCCAUGGGCAGGUUGAAGGUUGGGUAACACUAACUGGAGGACCGAACCGACUAAUGUUGAAAAAUUAGCGGAUGACCUGUGGCUGGGGGUGAAAGGCCAAUCAAACCGGGAGAUAGCUGGUUCUCCCCGAAAGCUAUUUAGGUAGCGCCUCGUGAAUUCAUCUCCGGGGGUAGAGCACUGUUUCGGCUAGGGGGCCAUCCCGGCUUACCAACCCGAUGCAAACUGCGAAUACCGGAGAAUGUUAUCACGGGAGACACACGGCGGGUGCUAACGUCCGUCGUGAAGAGGGAAACAACCCAGACCGCCAGCUAAGGUCCCAAAGUCAUGGUUAAGUGGGAAACGAUGUGGGAAGGCCCAGACAGCCAGGAUGUUGGCUUAGAAGCAGCCAUCAUUUAAAGAAAGCGUAAUAGCUCACUGGUCGAGUCGGCCUGCGCGGAAGAUGUAACGGGGCUAAACCAUGCACCGAAGCUGCGGCAGCGACGCUGAUGCGUUGUUGGGUAGGGGAGCGUUCUGUAAGCCUGCGAAGGUGGCCUGUGAGGGUUGCUGGAGGUAUCAGAAGUGCGAAUGCUGACAUAAGUAACGAUAAAGCGGGUGAAAAGCCCGCUCGCCGGAAGACCAAGGGUUCCUGUCCAACGUUAAUCGGGGCAGGGUGAGUCGACCCCUAAGGCGAGGCCGAAAGGCGUAGUCGAUGGGAAACGGGUUAAUAUUCCCGUACUUGGUGUUACUGCGAAGGGGGGACGGAGAAGGCUAUGUUGGCCGGGCGACGGUU